GUGUCAGCCGCCGCGGUAAUACGUAGGGUGCGAGCGUUGUCCGGAAUUAUUGGGCGUAAAGAGCUCGUAGGCGGCUCAUUGCGUCGGGUGUGGAAGACCGGAGCUUAACUCCGGUUCUUCAUUCGAUACGGGUGGGCUUGAGUUCGGUAGGGGAGACUGGAAUUCCUGGUGUAGCGGUGAAAUGCGCAGAUAUCAGGAGGAACACCGGUGGCAAAGGCGGGUCUCUGGGCCGAUACUGACGCUGAGGAGCGAAAGCGUGGGGAGCGAACAGGAUUAGAUACCCUCGUAGUCC
rnacentral:rRNA from 1 species